rnacentral:misc_RNA from 1 species
GAAGCCUCUUGAGCGAGCUUCUCAAAAAUGUCGUUGAUAAAACUAUUCAUGAUACCCAUAGCCUUGCUAGAGAUCCCAAUAUCAGGAUGGACCUGCUUCAACACCUUGAAUAUAUAUAUCUUAUACGUCUCUACGCUCUUCUUUGCCUUCUUCCUCUUCUUGUCGCUCGAACCUUCUUUCGGCAACUUCUUCUCCGCUCGUGGCUUCUUCUCCGCCGGUGCUUU